GGUAGGGGGCCUGAGAGGGUGACCCCCCACACUGGCACUGAAACACGGGCCAGACACCUACGGGUGGCAGCAGUAGGGAAUAUUGCACAAUGGGCGAAAGCCUGAUGCAGCAACGCCGCGUGCACGAUGAAGGCCUUCGGGUUGUAAAGUGCUUUUCGGGGAGAUGAGGAAGGACAGUAUCCCCGGAAUAAGGAUCGGCUAACUACGUGCCAGCAGCCGCGGUAAAACGUAGGAUCCGAGCGUUAUCCGAAUUUACUGGGCGUAAAGCGCGUGCAGGCGGUUCGGUAAGUUGGAUGUGAAACCUCCCGGCUCAACUGGGAGAGGUCGUUCAAUACUGUCGGACUCGAGGAUGGUAGAGGGAGGUGGAAUUCCCGGUGUAGUGGUGAAAUGCUUAGAUAUCGGGAGGAACACCAGUGGCGAAGGCGGCCUCCUGGGCCAUUCCUGACGCUAAGACGCGAAAGCUAGGGUAGCAAACGGGAUUAGAAACCCCGGUAGUCCUAGCAGUAAACGAUGUGGACUUGGCGUUGGUGGGGUAAAAUCCAUCAGUGCCGUAGCUAACGCGGUAAGUCCACCGCCUGGGGAUUACGACCGCAAGGUUAAAACUCAAAGGAAUUGACGGGGCCCCGCACAAGCAGCGGAGCGUGUGGUUUAAUUCGACUACGCGAAGAACCUUACCCGGGUUUGACAUACUGGUGGUAGGGAUCCGAAAGGUGACCGACCCUUCGGGGAGCCAGUACAGGUGCUGCAUGGCUGUCGUCAGCUCGUGUCGUGUGAUGUCCGGUUAAGUCCGGUAACGAGCGCAACCCUUGCCGUAUGUUAUAUGUGUCAUACGGGACUGCUGGUAUAAAGCCGGAGGAAGGUGGGGAUGACGUCAAGUCAGCAUGGCCUUUAUAUCCGGGGCUACACACACGCUACAAUGGCCGGUACAGUAGGUUGCAAAACCGCGAGGUGGAGCCAAUCCAUAAAGCCGGUCUCAGUUCAGAUUGUAGGCUGCAACUCGCCUACAUGAAGUCGGAGUUGCUAGUAACCGCAGGACAGCUAUACUGCGGUGAAUACGUUCCCGGGGCUUGUACACACCGCCCGUCACGUCAUGGGAGCUGGCAACACCUGAAGCCGGUAUCCUAACCGCAAGGAGGGAGCCGUCGAAGGUGGGGCUGGUGACUGGGACGAAGUCGUAACAAGGUAGGAGUACCGGAAGGUGCGCCUG
rnacentral:rRNA from 1 species